rnacentral:rRNA from 1 species
UACGUAGGGUCCGAGCGUUGUCCGGAGUUACUGGGCGUAAAGCGCGCGUAGGCGGCUUUGCAAGUCGGGUGUGAAAUCCCCAGGCUUAACCUGGGAACUGCAUUUGUGACUGCACGGCUAGAGUGUGUCAGAGGGGGGUAGAAUUCCACGUGUAGCAGUGAAAUGCGUAGAUAUGUGGAGGAAUACCGAUGGCGAAGGCAGCCCCCUGGGAUAACACUGACGCUCAUGCACGAAAGCGUGGGGAGCAAACAGG